AGUGAACGCUGGCGGUAGGCCUAACACAUGCAAGUCGAACGGCAGCACAGUAAGAGCUUGCUCUUACGGGUGGCGAGUGGCGGACAGGUGAGGAAUACAUCGGAAUCUACUUUUUCGUGGGGGAUAACGUAGGGAAACUUACGCUAAUACCGCAUACGACCUACGGGUGAAAGCAGGGGAUCUUCGGACCUUGCGCGAUUGAAUGAGCCGAUGUCGGAUUAGCUAGUUGGCGGGGUAAGGGCCCACCAAGGCGACGAUCCGUAGCUGGUCUGAGAGGAUGAUCAGCCACACUGGAACUGAGACACGGUCCAGACUCCUACGGGAGGCAGCAGUGGGGAAUAUUGGACAAUGGGCGCAAGCCUGAUCCAGCCAUACCGCGUGGGUGAAGAAGGCCUUCGGGUUGUAAAGCCCUUUUGUUGGGAAAGAAAAGCAGCAGGUUAAUACCCCGCUGUUCUGACGGUACCCAAAGAAUAAGCACCGGCUAACUUCGUG
rnacentral:rRNA from 1 species